GCAUGUGUAUCCACUUCAAUCCACAUGUGUUGGAGUGGAUUGGAAUGGAACUUAGUUUAAUUCUAUUCCAAUCCAUUUCAACACAUGUGGAUUGAGAUCAAUACAUGC
rfam:Sorghum bicolor cultivar BTx623 chromosome 2, whole genome shotgun sequence.